AUUGAACGCUGGCGGCAUGCUUUACACAUGCAAGUCGAACGGUAACGCGGGGGCAACCCUGGCGACGAGUGGCGAACGGGUGAGUAAUACAUCGGAACAUGUCCUGGAGUGGGGGAGUAGCUCGGCGAAAGCCGGAUUAAUACCGCAUACGCUCUGAGGAGGAAAGCGGGGGACUCGUAAGGGCCUCGCGCUGCAGGAGUGGCCGAUGUCGGAUUAGCCAGUUGGUGGGGAAAGGCCCACCAAGGCGACGAUCCGUAGCUGGUCUGAGAGGAUGAUCAGCCACACUGGGACUGAGACACGGCCCAGACUCCUACGGGAGGCAGCAGUGGGGAAUUUUGGACAAUGGGGGCAACCCUGAUCCAGCCAUGCCGCGUGAGUGAAGAAGGCU
rnacentral:rRNA from 1 species